rnacentral:lncRNA from 1 species
GCUCUAAACAGCAUAAAAUACUUCUUUAAAACAUGCAACAGCAGGUUCCUAGUAUGACAUCGUCCGUUUUCCUAAAUGCGUCAAGAAGGGUCUAACAGCAGGACCUCAGGGGCUGGGAAAGUUAUUCAGUCCCCCUGUUCUUCCCCCCCCCAGAGAUGGCUAUGCUGCUGGGCCACCCGCAGCAAAGAUCCAUCUGUAGCAGAGGUGAACCUUGGCCCAACACACCAAGGACAAAGUUCAGCUAACAGCAAGGGAAACCAAAGCAGAGGGUCGAUGAGGUACUUCUCUGAGUACAAAGCUCAGCACCUGCAGGUCCCAGGGAAGCCUGUGGUGAGAUGUCCACUGCCAAGGGGUCCAAAAUGCUCUUUUUCCUAGGUUGGAUGACAACAGUUUCUUUCCAAACCCCUUGUUUUGCAGAAACUUGUUUUCCCAAAACACAGACAGCACCAGUUUCACCAAGGACAGCAAGGACCUGUGGAAACACUUUACUUGGAAACAGUUCCUACACUACACCAGCAGUG